UACGUAGGGUGCAAGCGUUAAUCGGAAUUACUGGGCGUAAAGCGUGCGUAGGCGGCUAUGUAAGACAGAUGUGAAAUCCCUGGGCUUAACCUAGGAACUGCAUUUGUGACUGCAUUGCUAGAGUGUGGUAGAGGGAGAUGGAAUUCCGCAUGUAGCAGUGAAAUGCGUAGAUAUGCGGAGGAACACCAAUGGCGAAGGCAAUCUCCUGGACCUGCACCUGACGCUCAUGCACGAAAGCGUGGGGAGCAAACAGG
rnacentral:rRNA from 1 species